CCCGCAUGCCCGAUUUUAGAAAGAGCCGAACACGAUCGAGGAGGGGAGGCACGCGUGCCAUCGAUCCAUCCACCCAGCCUGGCCGCCGGGCGGGCGACGCCGCUGGCUAGCUUGAUUCGAUCUGGCGCGGCGCGGCGACAGCUAGCAGCUAGCUUGCUACCUAGCGCGGCCGCGGCCAUGGCCACAGCGCCGGGCGCCAUCUACCCAUCGCUUGAUCGUGCCCUUGUUAUGCGCUAGAUCGAUGCAACCAACCACCCCUCUCGCGCGCGGCGGGAUCGGAGUAGGAAAACCCUAGCUAGCCAGCCAGCCAGCCAGCCAGCCAGCCGCGGAAUGUUCCGGCGCUGCACGUUCUCCGCUCGUCGCUGCCAUACCGCGGGCCCAACACGUGCGUGCCCGGCUACCUCCCCCAACCCCCCGGCCUAUAUAUCCGGCCUCCCAACCCCCGUCUCUCUCCCCACCUCUCCCAUCUUCCCCAUCGAUCUCGCAAAAGAACGCUAGCGUCCGUGCCGCGUGCGGUGGCCGCGGCGGCGGUGUGCUUCGAAGCCGCGCGGCGCGGCUGCUUAGCUCGGCAAGGACCGGUACGGGCGCCGGGCGGUGACAGAAGAGAGUGAGCACACGGCCGGUCGUUACGGCACCGCCCGGGUGUGCCGUCGCGGCCGCGUGCUCACUGCUCUUCCUGUCAUCCACUCUCCCGCUUCCCUUCCGGCCUUCGCCGUGGCUGGCUGCCCGCGCUAGCACACCGCCGCCGCGUCCACAGCACAGGCCGGCCGGCCGUCGUUUUUGCGUCAUCGUAUGCCGUACAACUACCCCGCAAUUUUGUGUUCAUGCCUCUCUCUGCAAGUUUCCAUUUCUGGGAGGCUAGAGCGUACGGCGCCGCGCGCGUGGGUACGCUUUCGCGCACGGAUUCCCUCCCUUUUCUCUCGGUACGAUACGAAGAUGCGCCCUUUUGCUUUGAUAAAUUCUCUCAUCUUUUCCAAGGGAUUUUACCGUUAACCGCUGCUGCUCGCUCCGGCCUUGGGAAGGAGAAAAGGCAUUUACUGCGGUGCCGCUGAUUGAUUCAUCUAUAACUGGUUUCAAGAAUCUGGAUCUUGGAGCAACCAAGAUCAACCUACUGAGAUUAGUCCGGGGAUGGACGAUCUAGAGGCAAAUACGUGCAUGGAUCGAUAGCUCAGAUCUGCUUACCACUUGACUCUUUUCUUGCCAGAGAGACUUCAGUCUCACUAGUAGUUCCACGUGGACUUCGACGUUUAGCUUGUUACCUCAGCUACGAUCUUGUGCCCUCGGCAGGAUCUGGUAGAUUAGUCAGGGUUCUCA